rnacentral:rRNA from 1 species
CAGCAGCCGCGGUAAAACGUAGGGUGCAAGCGUUAAUCGGAAUUACUGGGCGUAAAGCGUGCGCAGGCGGUGUUGUAAGACUGAUGUGAAAUCCCCGGGCUCAACCUGGGAACUGCAUUGGUGACUGCAACGCUGGAGUGCGGCAGAGGGGGAUGGAAUUCCGCGUGUAGCAGUGAAAUGCGUAGAUAUGCGGAGGAACACCGAUGGCGAAGGCAAUCCCCUGGGCCUGCACUGACGCUCAUGCACGAAAGCGUGGGGAGCAAACAGGAUUAGAUACCCCCGUAGUCCCUGUCUCUUAUAC